UGUCUGGUGGCUGAGCUGAAAGCGGUAGACUGUAGAUCUAUUAACGGAAUUAAGUUUCCCCGACAA
rnacentral:tRNA from 1 species